GACGGAGGGGGCAAGCGUUGUCCGGACUCACUGGGCGUAAAGAGCUCGUAGGCGGUCUGUCGCGUCUGCUGUGAAAACUCAGGGCUUAACCCUGAGCUUGCAGUGGGUACGGGCAGACUAGAGUGCGGUAGGGGAGACUGGAAUUCCUGGUGUAGCGGUGAAAUGCGCAGAUAUCAGGAGGAACACCGGUGGCGAAGGCGGGGUCUCUGGGCCGUAACUGACGC
rnacentral:rRNA from 1 species